CUAUAGAGUGCGAAAAUGUAUAUAUAUAUACACCACUAAUUUUGAAGUUCCACAUCAGCCGCAUUGAACAAUUGAUAUUUGCAUACUUGGAGAAUGACGUCCAAAAUAAAUUUUGAACUAAAAUUUGCCAAACCCGGGGAUGCUGCCCCCCAGUUCCUCAGAUCAGCAAUCUGGACAGUUUUCAGUACAGAUGUCCCUAUUUAUGGGGAAAGUCUACUGCCAUCUGCAAAACAAUAAGAAGGGGACACAGACUAGCUUCCCCAUGACGGCCAUGCAUGGUCUGUUUGAAAUUAGGGAGGAAAUACAGGCAGCAGCGGAUACACUCCUGAAUUUUGCAGGUCCACCAUCCCCACCAUUGGUGAGUAAUAGUUAGAUGUAUAAUCUUUGCAUUGUAUGUGGGUAAUCGAUGAGCUUCACUUCUCUAAACGGGAUAAAUUUACGUUGCAGAUAGUGCUACCUCCUGCCAAAAAAGGAGGGUGUUUUUUAAGAAGAAAAAAAUGGUUGCAGAGGAUUCUGACGGUGACAACGAGGACGAAAUUCUCGCCAUUUGAUAUCUUAUUUUAAAAGAACAUUUAUUCUUGUAAUAUGGGGAAUGGUUUAUUGCAAUAACGUUUUACUCAAGAUGCUCUAUAUCAACAAAUGUAUAUUCACAUAUAUUUUUUUAAAAAUUGAAACUAGGAGGCUAAUUUUUUAUUUGUAACAUGGGAGAAUGGCUUAUUCGUAUAUUGAUGAAACUAAUUAUUCUAACAAAAAUUAAAAUUGAUAGGUUGUGAAUUGUGGGAAAGAAAAAAUGGAGGGAAAAGAGAAAAAGGAAGUUGAGGAAAUGUUUCGCUUAGUACAUCAUUUGCUUCAAGAUAUUGACAGCAAACUCCAAGAAAUUUAGAAGAGUGAGAAGCAAACUCUAAUUAUUAUGAACUAUUUAAAUCAACUAUGCUUUAAACAGUACUGUUUCUGCCAAUCGCUGAAUUGUGGGAAUGAAAAAUAUGGUGAGAAAGAGGAAAUAGCGGAAAUGUCUCUAUUAGUUUGUAAUUUAUUUCAAGAUAUUGACAACAAACUUCAAGAAAUAGAAAAGGGUGGGAAACAGGUUCGAAUAAUUAUAGAACGUCUUAAACAGUACAGCGUUAAAUUCUGUUUAUGUCAAUCAUAGGGUAAUGAGAGUUCUACGCCAACCAGUUCCACGCAAAAGCAUAUAUAGACCAUACCUCACUUUGUGAAUAAAUUAAAGAGAUCAUUAUUUGUAAAACCUUUAAUUCAUUAUAUACAUUGUAACAAGAAUGUUUGCAAUAAAUAUGUGAAUAUAAA